GCGCAAACUCAUCUCCACUCUUGAUCCACUCUCAUUUCUCCUCUGCUCAUCAGCCCUAGCCCUGAAACUGUGUUCCUCUCUCAGUUUCUUCUGAGUUAGAAGCGGCAUUGCUCGAUUGUUCGUGAGGGAAAGAGGCUGAACCAAGAUUAGCAGGGAACCCUCGAAAUUUCUCGCUAUCAUUAUCCUCUGCACGUCAGCUUUGGCUCUGAAACUGAUUUCCCCUCUCAGUUUCUUCCGAGUUAGAAGCAGCAUCGCAAACCGUUAGUGAGGGAAAGAGGCUGAACCAAGAUUAGCAGGGAACCCUCGGAAAUAUUGGCAACCAAGAGGAUGCCUACCAAGAGACCGUUUGAAGAACCGAAGGUGAAUGUGGGUGAAUAUUCUACUCUACCAGCUAAGAAACUGAGAACACAUUUUAGCCCCAAUUCAUCCUUAUGCAGAUGGAUGAUGUAUUAAACUUCGAGAUUUCGACUGCAAAAAACAUUAAAAGAACAAAAUGAGUUCGAGAUUAAGGGAAUAUUUAUUUGCACUAAAUAGAUUCUAUUUAGAGGGUCACUCUUAAUUGGUUCAUUGUUAAGUGAAGUAGUUAUAUUUUGUUGCCCCUCUUAAUACCCUUCGAAUGGCUCUCUUUCCUAGCGAUGGUUUGUUGCGGCUUUCAUUGAGAACAAUGUUGUUUGUAAUUAUCCCAUCUCAUCUUGAUUGUAAUUUCUCAUUCGAUUAGAGAUGGUGAGCUCAAUUUAUUGUGCCCUCCCAAAAAAAACUAUUGUAAAUUUAUUGUAAUUAUAGCUUAUGAUAUUUGUUCUAUACUUUUUGAGCUAUACUGUUCUAUGAUGUAUAAAUUUGUUCUUUAUUUUUCA